CGAAAUCCGCUGCCUUAACUUGCAAGUUCGAACGGUAACAGGGAAGCUUGCUCCGCUGACGAGUGGCGAACGGGUGAGUCAUAUAUCGGAACGUACCUUUGAGUGGGGGAGAACUAGUCGAAAGAUUAGCUAAUACCGCAUACGAUCUACGGAUGAAAGUGGGGGAUCGCAAGACCUCAUGCUCAUAGAGCGGCCGAUAUCUGAUUAGCUAGUUGGUGAGGUAAAGGCUCACCAAGGCUUCGAUCAGUAGCUGGUCUGAGAGGACGACCAGCCACACUGGGACUGAGACACGGCCCAGACUCCUACGGGAGGCAGCAGUGGGGAAUUUUGGACAAUGGGGGCAACCCUGAUCCAGCAAUGCCGCGUGAGUGAAGAAGGCCUUCGGGUUGUAAAGCUCUUUUGUCAGGGAAGAAACGGGGAUUCCUAAUACGAGUCCCUAAUGACGGUACCUGAAGAAUAAGCACCGGCUAACUACGUGCCAGCAGCCGCGGUAAUACGUAGGGUGCAAGCGUUAAUCGGAAUUACUGGGCGUAAAGCGUGCGCAGGCGGUUAUGUAAGACAGGUGUGAAAUCCCCGGGCUUAACCUGGGAAUGGCAUUUGUGACUGCAUGGCUAGAGUGUGUCAGAAGGGGGUAGAAUUCCACGUGUAGCAGUGAAAUGCGUAGAGAUGUGGAGGAAUACCGAUGGCGAAGGCAGCCCCCUGGGAUAACACUGACGCUCAUGCACGAAAGCGUGGGAGCAAAGAAUCUUC
rnacentral:rRNA from 1 species